UCUGUAAUUAGUAACAGUAAAUUUUCAUUGUCUAACAGAACCGAAUAACCUGUGUUGUUGAUUGACAUGAACAUAGUUUAGAAGACUUAUACACACGAUUUUGUUAUGCAAUGCGUAAGACUCUUGUAUAGGAAAAUAAAUUCCAGCAUAGUGUACAUAUUGCUAACUACAAUAUUGAAUUGAAUUGUAUUAUGAUGACACAAUGUAUGUGGGUCAUUUUGUUUUCUAUUGUAUUAAGGUAUGUUUGUUUAAUUUGAGACUUAAGUAUUAAUUUUUCUUUGUGAUACUUAAUGAUUCAUAAUUUUUUGGUGAUAUUUGUUAUAUCAGGCGGGGAGUGUGAUGCCCCCAGCCUCAAGCUGGGAACCAGGCGAUUUCGAAAAUCAAGUUUCUUGUUGGUUAUUUUUCUUGAGCUUAAUUUUUCUUGGGUGUAAAUAGGAAAAUGAUUUCCGCGUCCGGCUAAUACUUUUGGCAUGUUACGUAAACACAUUUUGGUUUAAUUAUCUCUCAUCAUCUUGAUGCUAAAACCCAUGGCUAAUUUACCACAUACACGACUGUCUUAACAUCUGUAAAAUAAAAGAAUAACACGGAAUGUUUGGACUUGGUAACUGGCGUCUUUUCGUAGACAGCAUACUCGGUUAUGGUGUUAUGGUCUCAACCUAAACCAUUGAGUAGAUGAACGAUACAUCGACAAUAUGUUCAACCAAUAAUGGGGGCUACAGCAUGAUGCGAUUUCAAAAGAAAUCCUGAGAACAUGGUCUGUCCCAAUGACUCAACUGCACCUUCUAGGUAGUGGUCGCCGUUAACAGUACCUCGAACAGACACUGUUGCACCCUUUGAUAAUGAAAAAACAACAUUCGCAGAAUCGGAAUACCACCAUACAGAUGCGGCAUUUAAACCGAGCCUCACCACUUGCCUGUUGUCAUGAUAUAUCCCGUAAGACGAAGAGGAGCCUUCGUGUGCCAUCAGUGUUGUUGAAAACACGUAAAUACCAUCGACUGGUGCCGUGAACACUCCAGUGACAUUGCUCUAACCACCAAGAGAGUUCGUAGAAUUGAUGUUAGUGAUCACUUUGUCGAAAACAAUAAUCUGGCCAAUCGAUAAAUGUACGGUUGUUGAAAGGUAUGUAAAGAGCGCAAUUUCUGGGUCGUGAGCCAGUUGCCGAGAGCUGAUCCGUCUUUCUAUUCAAUAUAAACAUGAAUAAUAUACUAUUGUGUUUUUUGCAAAUACGUUAUUCUAAACAUCAUUCAUGCAUAGUGGUGCCACUGACCAAAAAAAGAUAAUCACCUACGUGAAUUUUAAGAUAAAUGUUGUCGGUUGUAUGUGUCCUUCGUGUAAAGAGAUUUUGUCAAGAAAACGUGAAUAAAAGAUUGUCUCAUUUCUAUAUCCUCCAGCAAAGAAAACGUUGUAAAGAAUCUUUUAUUGAGCUGGUUAUCCGAUAACCAUCAAAUACAUUUUCAACGUCCAAGACAGAUGCAUGUAAAUCGAUUUAUUUUCGUUAACUUUAUCAAUUACUACACUGACAGACAAAACAUGGUUAUAUACACGGCCUUUAAUCACGGGCGCCAUCUGUUUUGCGAUGCAUUUAUAAAUGAGCUAUUGCUACUUCCGAGGUGGCGCUAAGGAUCGGUUGUUACAAAAUUUCACGGAU